rnacentral:rRNA from 1 species
AUGAACGCUGGCGGCGUGCCUAAUACAUGCAAGUCGAGCGAACAGACGAGGAGCUUGCUCCUCUGACGUUAGCGGCGGACGGGUGAGUAACACGUGGAUAACCUACCUAUAAGACUGGGAUAACUUCGGGAAACCGGAGCUAAUACCGGAUAAUAUAUUGAACCGCCUGGUUCAAUAGUUAAAGACGGUUUUGCUGUCACUUAUAGAUGGAUCCGCGCCGCAUUAGCUAGUUGGUAAGGUAACGGCUUACCAAGGCGACGAUGCGUAGCCGACCUGAGAGGGUGAUCGGCCACACUGGAACUGAGACACGGUCCAGACUCCUACGGGAGGCAGCAGUAGGGAAUCUUCCGCAAUGGGCGAAAGCCUGACGGAGCAACGCCGCGUGAGUGAUGAAGGUCUUCGGAUCGUAAAACUCUGUUAUUAGGGAAGAACAAAUGUGUAAGUAACUAUGCACGUCUUGACGGUACCUAAUCAGAAAGCCACGGCUAACUACGUG